UACGGAGGUUGCAAGCGUUAUCCGGAUUUAUUGGGCGUAAAGAGCGUGUAGGCGGCCUGAAAGGUCAGCUGUGAAAACUCGAGGCUCAACCUCGAGACGUCGGUUGAAACCAUCUGGCUAGAGUCCGGAAGAGGAGUGCGGAAUUCCCGGUGUAGCGGUGAAAUGCGCAGAUAUCGGGAAGAACACCCGUGGCGAAGGCGGCACUCUGGGACGGUACUGACGCUGAGACGCGAAAGCGUGGGGAGCGAACAGG
rnacentral:rRNA from 1 species